GAGUUUGAUCCUGGCUCAGGAUGAACGCUGGCGGCGUGCCUAAUACAUGCAAGUCGAGCGAACAGAUAAGGAGCUUGCUCCUUUGACGUUAGCGGCGGACGGGUGAGUAACACGUGGGUAACCUACCUAUAAGACUGGAAUAACUCCGGGAAACCGGGGCUAAUGCCGGAUAAUAUUUAGAACCGCAUGGUUCUAAAGUGAAAGAUGGUUUUACUAUCACUUAUAGAUGGACCCGCGCCGUAUUAGCUAGUUGGUGGGGUAAUGGCUUACCAAGGCAACGAUACGUAGCCGACCUGAGAGGGUGAUCGGCCACACUGGAACUGAGACACGGUCCAGACUCCUACGGGAGGCAGCAGUAGGGAAUCUUCCGCAAUGGGCGAAAGCCUGACGGAGCAACGCCGCGUGAGUGAUGAAGGUCUUCGGAUCGUAAAACUCUGUUAUUAGGGAAGAACAAAUGUGUAAGUAACUGUGCACGUCUUGACGGUACCU
rnacentral:rRNA from 1 species